ensembl:lncRNA
CCCACUUUGUUUUGCAUUCUGUGAUGUCCUUAGCAGAAUAUGCCAUGCUUGCAUCUAUCUAGCAAGUUGGAACAGUGAUAGCAAUUUUAAUUAAUCACUGCAAGGUUCUAUUUUGCAUGAAGAAGGCUCAGCCUCUUUGACCCAUUAAUUAAAUUGUGGAAUUUACAGUUUCUUGAAAAUGUUGAAGAAGCAAAGGAUUAGACAGAUCUGAGCUUUAUUUGAAAUGGAAAUUGAGACACACUGGACUGCAGAUAGCGAAGAGAGGAGUGACAUGUUAAAAAGGGCUUCAAGUUCAACAGCCAUCUACUAAGCCAAAGCCAACUAGAGGCAGGAAUUUUCCGUGACAGAAAUAAUACAGCAGCAGGAGUCAAUGGGUUAGAUCUUCGGGGCUAAAUCAGCCAAGUGCCUUUAAACCCUGCAGAAACUCCGACUUCCACAGCGAGAAUUUCGUUAUCACUUUUUCUUUUGGGCUACUAUAAAGAGAAAUACGCUUGAUUAAGUAUGGCUAUUUCUCACCAAGAGAAAUGGGCAUUCAAAUUGCAGGUUUCCAAGAUUUUCAGAACAUUUUCUGUUUCUCUUCUGAAGAGCUCCUAAGCAUUUGACCUGCAAAUGUUUUCUCUGGAGCUACAGAAGUCCUUAUAGAAAAGAUUAAAACUAGGACCUGUUUAUCACUGAAAAGAAGUGCCCAUCUGAGGUUCUUCCUAUCAGCACAGGAGGCAGAGACAAGAUUUCUAAUGAACCAUUCAGUACAAGCACUUUGAAACUACCUAAUGACCAACAGAUUUCACCUGCAACAGACUUAGGUAAAUACUCAGAACUUUCCAGCUGGAGGUGCAUGUUAUGAAGAGCAUUAAGAGCUGCAGAAUGGGUACUGUAAAGUUUUUACUAACCAGUUUUUGAAAUGAGAUGCUUCUAGCUCAGGAGAGCAUUGAAGGCACAUUUAAAUCCUCCUGAAAACUCUAAGCCAGUGCUUAAGUGCUUUUUGAAAUCAUCGCUGGGGAACACAUCGUUUCUUAACUGCUUUGAAGAAAGUGCUGUAAUGUCAGUGCAUCAGCAGAGGAGGAAGUGCUACUUCUGGGUAAAAUUCAGCUUACGAUGGAAGAGUCACAGUGCUAAUGAUGGAACCAGAAAAUAAUCUGAAGCUUUUUGCCAAGUGUGUUUGGUUCAAAAACAAAAUCCCCAUCAAAUCCUAAGGGAGUCGAGCAACACUUCCUCCCCUAGAUUUUAAUAUAAACCUUGGCAGAGUUUAAGUCUGGAUGGCUAAAGCAACGACAGGAAAAUUCUAAGUCAGUAGGAGAUAGAGAGUAAACAACAACAAACUGACGUCAGUGCUGAGAGAGCGGAUAUCUGAUACAGCUGCUGCUCUUUCAAGAACUACUUAAAAACGUGUUGACUACUUUCUUUUGGAAAAUAUUUCAAUGAGAAUAUAUAAAAAACCUUUUUUUUCCCUCUUUCACUUCCUUCCUUCUUUCUUCUGCCACAGUGUAACCUACUGUAGAAGAAUGAAAAAGCACAGAUGAAUCUCACGUCAACCAAAUACUGCCAUGAGUGAUUGUGCUUCUCUCUGUUCCUGUUUCAGACAUACUGAUGUGAUGAAUGAAUUAACCAAGGAGCAUAAUACCUCAUUGCCAACUGAGAGCAAAUCCUUGAAGUUCAGUGCUAUUCCACUUAAAAUAUUUCAGUUGGAUCUCAAACCAAGAUGUGCAGAAGAAUUGUUACCACUGAAGAAGCUGGAUUUUUUGUCAAGAAGGAGUCUCAUGAUUCCUUUGCUUCAGGGAAAUUUAAAUGAAGAAACGUUCAGUUUGGAGGUUUGCCUAUUCUACUUGGAAAAUGUUAAAAAAUGGGUUGAAGAAAACAAGAAGAGCCAGAAAAGACUGCAAAGGAAAAUUGCCAUAUUUUUAGUCAAGUUUAUAAAUUUUUCCCUGGGACUUUUUGACAAAUGACUGCUCACCAACUUUGUGAGAAUUUCUCCUGGACAUUGCUCAGAAACUUCUGGCAUUUUGCCAUGCAGGUUUGCCUGCUAGAAUUUCUCAAAUGUUUUUUUUUAUUUUUCAUGGGAGGAGGCUGUUUUCUCAAGGAGUGUUGGUGCCUUUUCCAUCCAGUCUCUCUCACUUUUCUUUUCCUAAGUACAGACUUGCUUACAUUCAGAUUAAUUUUGGGCAAGGUCAGGAGUAGUGAAAUGCCCAUAAGCAUAAUGCUGUUGCUGCUGUUUUCACAGGCCAUCUCUGAGAGCAGCUGAAGUUGCAUGUUUUUCUGGCUCUGUUGAGAAGUAAUUUGGAAUAGAGCUCCUUUGACUCAAGCAUUGAAGCCAGACCUAAAUGCUUGAGUGAGAUUUCCACACUAGCAUAAACUGAAGCACAUCCAAACAUCUGCUGCUCAACAUGCCUGAGAGUUAUCUUUCACCCUGCUGCCAGAUUCCUUGGUGCCACAUAUAGAUUUGUAGUCCACUCUGUGGAUUUCUUUUCCUUUUUCCUCUGCUGUGCUCUUCUGAUCAUCCUCUAAUGGACCUGAACCUCUGUCAAAUACAUCUCUUUGCCACUGUGGGCAAACCAUUUGUCUUGAAUGGUGUAUAUCUGCUUGUUUUUUCCCAGAGAACUCUCUUUCUGACUACUAAUACAUGGUUUCUGGUACUGGAGCAUGUGCAGGACAGCAAUGUUCUUGUAGACUGGAGCUCAUUAAGGAUAUUGGUUUGGGGUGAACUAUGGUAACUGGAUUGAACUGUUGCUCCCAGAUCCCUGUGUCUACAUGACUUUGUUCCAAGGAAUUGCUGAGACAACCAAGGAAAGAGUGUAGCUGCUCUAGGCUACCUUUUGCAGUUGAUGAGGUGAGCAGAACAUCAGAGAAUGGUCUGGGGGUGUCCUGUAGUGCUCUUAGCUGUUUUUGUUGACUCACCUCCUGAUGUGGCUGCCUUUGGUAGUUGCAGAGAUGUUCCUGGGAGGGAUGCAGACAGAUGAGGCAACAGGCAGAGUAGAGAGCUUCAGAUGAGUUAUUUGCAUCCAGACAAGGAAAGGGAAAAUAAAAGGACCUUGUGUCACAGUUCAGGGGCUGUCGGGGUUGUAUCAUACUGUCACUGUAGAGUUCAGUGGAUGACAGUUGUUUUGCUUUAAAAAUGGGAGAGUGAACAGUUUUAUUUAACUAAGAGUUAUGGAGAAGUCCAGUAUCCAUCUGACAACAAUCAUGGCAAGAGAAAAGGCUGUUUUUUGCUGCAUGAGCUGUAUGUGAUUAUAGUUCUCUUCUUCCUUUAUCUAUGCAGGUAGCAUACAUGUCAGCACGUAGCUCCAAAACCUACCAUCUUCAUGAGUUGUGUUUAUAGUUAUACACUUAUUAAAUGAUUGUGUGCACUCGUACUCAGACUAUUAUAAAUCCAUUACUUUCCUGAGGCCAUAGGAAAUGGUUUUAAAAUGUGAAGCUUUUCUGCAGGGAAUUGAGAGAGAGCAAUACUAAAGCAGUGUACUUGGUUCACACAGAUCAAUGUAGUGCAAUAACUGGGAUGAGAAACCAAGCUUAAAACAUUACCAAUGUGAUUGGAUGAAAGCUUAACAUGGCGUUGAGUAAUGUCUCAUUAUAAGUAAAAUCUCUUAAACCACCUUUGGGGGGGAAGACAAAGCAAACUGCUUAGUAGCAAAUCAUAAGAUAGAAAUGAUGGUGCUUGCACUUGAAACUGAACUCUGGGUAGUACAAGCACAGUAGCAGUGAAACAUCAAGUUUGGCUGCCUUAUUUUCAAAAUGAUGGUGGUGAUGUUAGCCCAAGUCUUGGGAUGGGAGAUAUCAGGAGGUUUUAGAUAUUUUUGAUCUUUCCAUGAGAACUUUCAUGAAGACAUUCUCUUCAUCACUAACUUAAUUUCUCUGUCUGGAAAAAAAGUUUUCCAAAACUGACAUCUUACUAUCUGAGAAGAGAAAACAACAUCAACAAUAACAAACAACCACAAAGAAAUCAAUAUUUCAGUUGAGAUUUAGAAUUAGUAAGUUUAGUUCCCACUGGGUUCAAACACUCAGGCACAAAUGUUACCCAACGUGCAUUGGAUUUACCUGCGUUUUUAAGACCACGGUUUAAUAGUUCAUCCCAGCACAGAAAGGCACACUGUACAGCUUAGUGUCGUCUUAGUUUUUUACGUGAAUUUAUAUUAAGCUGAAAAUAAAUAUAAAUGACAGGAAAUGUUUCCUCUUCUAAAGCUCUGAGCCACUUACAGGAAUAAUUUUGAGGGAAA